AUAGAUCUGAAAACAGGGCAGAGAAGCUGGAAGAAUCGAGAAGAAAGAAAGAAAGAAAAGAUAAAAGAAAGAUAGAAAGAACAAAAGAUAGAAAGCAAAAAGGAGAAGGAAAAAAAAGACAGGAAAAGAGAUUGAAGGAAGGAAUAUGUUUGCAAACCAAUAUUUUUGAAUUGGGAAGGUUACUUACACUAAGAUAGUAGCAGAGUUGAGUAGCCUUGGAGCCUGUCGAUCCAUCGAAUUGAGCCACACACAUUGCCAUUAUUUGUAUGACUCAUUUUGUCAAUCUAUGGAAUUUAUAUAUUUUUUCUUUGGCACACAUGUUUGUUUGUCAGAAAAAUUAAUUAGCAAGUCAUGUGUCCAUAUCUUGGGCUCACUACAAAUUUGGUAUCCUUAAUAUUUUUGGUGUCUUUUGUUUGUAAAGCAUAGUAAAUAUCAACUUGCCAGUAUUCUAUUUUGAAUAGUUUGUAUUUUAAGGGACUAGUGUGUCCUAUUUUAAAUUA